UGCCAUAUGGGAGACUAUUAUUAUGCUUGACAUUUACCUCUCUUCCACCACUUAUACAUUUUGGAUAGUAUGACCACUUCUCCCACAUUAUGGUAAUGGUAAAUGCUAGCUCGUCAUCAUCCCUGGACUUCGCUCCACCAAAGUGUCAAUAACUGUCACUCGCAUGAGUCUAACUCCUAGUUACUUGGCCUACACCCUUGGUGUAUUAGCCUACAUCUUAUGUGUAUUAGUCUCCAUCAUUGAUGUGGCGAGCUUGCACCCUAGAUGUUUGUCUACACACUCGAUGUAUCAGUCUACGUCCUUGGUGUGUCAACUUGUACCCUAGGUAUUUUGACUUACAGUAUAUAUCAGUCUACAUCUUUAAAUAAGAUGUUGGUGUAUUAGCCUUUAUCCUUAGUAUAUCG
rnacentral:lncRNA from 1 species